GGGUCAGGAGGUUGGUCGUGCCACCGGUACGUACUGGUCUCACUGAUUCCUCCUUCCUGAAGAACCGUAAUGCCAUUAAUUUGGUGUUGCGGGGAAACAGGGCUGUUACUUUGAAAAAAUUAGAGUGUUUAAAGCAAGCUAACGCUUGAAUACAUUAGCAUGGAAUAAUGAAAUAGGACGAUCGAUCCUAUUUUGUUGGUUUCUAGGAUUGACGUA
rnacentral:rRNA from 1 species